ACGAACGCGCGUGGUAGCACGGAAAGUGUUCGAAGAGAACUAUAGAAGGGGCGAUCAGUGACUCUAUUGUUAUGUGUCAGUCCGCAAUUAAAAGUUACGUCUGAGAGGUCGUUAAAGGCGAAAUUAUGCGCGAACUCGAUCAUAAUCAAUGAUGCAUGAGGCCGCGAUGAGUUCUACCGAGUGAGUUUCAGUCAACAAUAUUCAAAGCCUUAUGCAAACAACUUGAUUAAGUAAACGCGAUGGAAAAAUAUCACGCGCCGAGCAACGCCGCACUGCAUGGGCCACAGUUGGCUAAAAAACUUAAUUACUGACUGCGAUAGAGCUGGCAGAAAGACACGGUGCACACGAAAUCGAAACAGCAUGCGCCAAUCUUACUCCCGGAAGAUACGUGCAAAUAAUCUGAUUCCCGUUGGAAGUAAUUCUUGCCAAGUUCUUCGCCCGUCAAUCAGUCCGCAAAAGGUGGAUGUAUAGAGGCUUGUUUGUGGCUUUAGGAGGCUUUCUUUGGAUUAGGCAUUUCGUUGGAGGAUUGCGUAGCGCAAGUGGAGAUAAUGCACAACUGUAUAUCAAGACAUUUAUAGGCUGCUGAGAACUCACUCUAACCAACGCCAAACCCCCGCUGUACACCAAACUACAAACCGAUAGAAAUAAAUCCCAAUUCUUUGUG